CGCGUGGGUCAGGAGGUGGCCACUGGCGGAACCCCCGUCGGAACCCAGGCCCCGUCCUUCCGCCGGGUCCCGUCCUUUCCCGUCGGGAAGCACUCUCUGCUGGCGGAGGCUCUGAGCAGGAUUUUUAUUACCAUGGCCUCUGCUCCCGGCUCCUCCCAGGUCAUGAUGUGAACAGCCGAGGCUGGUGGUAACCACCUUCCUGUCUCUGCUGUAGCCAUCUCGGCUAAUCCAGCUGGACUUCUGGCGGUGCUGGAGGUUAAAGGUGCCUCGGCACUGCGAGGCAGGAGGAGAUUAGUCUUGCCCCAUGGGAGGCGAGCCCUGGAGCCGGUCGUACGGGGAAAGUGGACGCUCACAGACACUAAGGAAGCCGUGUGGUUGAUGAGAACAGGACCAGGAUUCACCUGGGACCAGAUGGCUGCCCAGGCCAGUUCCCCCACCGCCCCGCAGGGAGAGCCUGGCGCCAGGGCAGAGGAAGCUAGAGGCGGGACCCAGAGACGCAGGGGCUUGCAGCCCCCCGUGAGGAAUCUGGACUUUAUCCUGGAGGCCAGUGGGUCGCAGUCUGGGCUGCACAUCAGAUCCUCCGGAGAGCUCUAGAGAUGAUUACUGCCUGGGUCCUACCCCAGGAAGUCUGACUCAGCUGUUUCUUGGUUUUGUUUUGUUUUGUUUUUUAUGUUGGAGUAGAGUUGAUUAACAGUGCUGUGUCAGUUUCAG